CUGCUCCUGGCUGUUGACUGAGCCCUGGAAGCCCCCUCGCCUUAAUGCAGCGCCCGCCGACGUCACGGCGGACUGCGACCAAUCAGCGCCUCGCGGUCCCUCUGUAAACCAUUCUGCAUUCCCCCCCGGCCGGGGAGAGUGCGGGGACACCGCGUUUAGAGGAUCAGUGGCGGUGGCCCCGCGCGGUGCCGGCGACUGGCAGAGAGAUGUCCUAGUCCCUUCCAGGUUGGGUAAGGCGUUGGCUUCAGUGUCAGGGAUUGAAAGUUGGCGGGAGGAGGCCCGAGUUCGGUGGGAGGGUAAAGUCAAAACUACCCCGUGUCCCCCCAAAAAAGCCUUACUGGUGUUAGUGUGCAACUGGAUCUGGAAGCUUGGGGGGAGGGCCUAGGUACACAGCUUUGCAAUUCAGGUGUUGAUAGCCCGGCCCUUCUUGCUCGUUUGGCCUGGAAAUUGCCCCCGGCACAGCUCGAGUCUUUGGAAAGGUAGGGGGCGCUUGGCAGUUUAAUCUCCCUUCUGUCUCUCGGCGCCCCCUCCCCCAGUCCAUCCAAAGUCCACCCGGCAGGGUGUCUGGGAGACACGAGUGUGGAUCUCCCGCUGCGCUGUCUUGGAAAGUUGAAGCGGGCGAUUUCCUGAUGGGGGUGGGGGAAACCGGAGGCGCGGCGCCAGGGUGGGAGAAGGAGUGGGUGGGGAAAGCGCUUCGGGUGAGGAGUUGCAACUCUGGCGAGAAGUUGUGAGAAAAUUGUGAUCCGGAGACACCUUUUACAAACAAAAACAAAUGACUAGGUGGGAAACCGCGGGGCUCCCGCAGCUGGGGGAGGUGGUAGCCGCGGGGGACUGCACCUUGGCUGCAGGGAGGGAGGCGUGCAGCGCGCUGGCAGAGUAGCCUGGCUCCCAGACCUUCCCUUUUCUGGGCUUCCAGCUAGUUCGUUUUCUUCACACAUCUGCGGACCAUACCUACCCGAGUACACUCUUUAGGAAUAAAACACGUUCCUAAUUUUGUCCGAGUUAUAGCGUUAUAAACUCAUGACCGCCGCCUACGGGGGCGGGGGCGGAUCUGCCUAGGCGUGUGAGUCGGAUGAUGGUCCUGAGGGCUUGAACUUUUAAGUCAUUCUGGUUCCCAGGAGCACUCAAGUUAACUGUGGCGACUGAAUUUUUUCUUAAGCUUAAUCCAAAUUGAUCUCAAAGCCGUGCUACUUUUGCUCCCUAUUUGGGGGAGAUGCUAGGAAGACCCAUUUGAUCAAAUUUGGGAGAUAAUAAGGGUGUCCCUGCAGCCAUACCUAGAUGGUAUUUCAGAAUAUGUCUUUUAAGUUACUUCAUCUAUACACCCGACAGAUCUUUCACAGGGCUAAAUUAGGAGAAAGGGGCGCGGAAAUGCAGUUGAACCGGCAGUGAAUCCGGGUCCACACACAGAAUACCCUCUUCCAGCGAAGAGAGAAGCUGCCACGAAUUUGGUUUGUGUUGGAUGGCAUUGUUAGUUUUUAGGGCUGAGCUAACGUCCCCUUUCCUGCUUUCUUUCGCACCUACCGGCUCUUCAACAGCUCUGCCUUCCCACCGGCAUGAUCUCUGGUUUGUAAACCCAACCCGCCAAGGCCUUCCUCACACGCCUCCUCGGCGAUCUGCCCCCACCGCCACCUCUGAACAUCAGACCUCAGUGCGUUCUCCGUACCCCAUACGCACUCGGGUGGAGCAGCAGUGGACCAAAGUAGCUCAGUCAGGCUGGUUAACUCUCACACAACAACCCCUGUCCUGUUUUUUUCUAGGCUUAGACUCAGGGCUGAGCCGGGGUUAGAAGGCGAUCCUCCCACCUAUCGGGCGGGCUCUGCGGGUUCGACUGGGGGUCGGGAUCUUCCUGCGCACCCGACACUUCCUAGAACAAAUCGACCAGUGUCAAGAAUUGUGACACACUCACCCACCCCGGACGUGCCGAGUGCAGCGGAGUGCGGGAUCUCUCUAUUACCCCGACUCCCAAGCGGCUGCCAAAAAGAAGGGACCAUCGGUCCCCAAGCUCUCCACCCUCAACUGCUCGAGAGCUAGAGCUGCUACCGCCCGGGACUCAACCGCCCCUCUCAGGAGCCUAUAGUCGCCCAGGUCCCGGGUGGCUCACACUCGGAGCGGCUGGGCUACUUCACAUGAAAAGCAGAGGGACCCGGGAGGGGGCAACUAAGAAAUUAUUGUGGCGGGAACCUGUGGGGCGCCCCUGGUCUCCGUUGCCCGCCGUUUCUGACUCGCAUCCUCCUUCGGUAGUCGGGGAGAAGCUGUUUUAUUGAUUUGGGGCGUAACGACGUUGAGGCCAUGGUGUGGGAGGAAGGACCUCUUUUAGAGGACGGGAGUUGGGCGAAGACAGGACUCUGGUUCUAGGGCAUAGUGUUCUGCAUGUCUCGGUGUCCACAUGCUGAAGGAAACCGGUCGCCGAUCCAAUUCCGGCUUCUGGGAUGUGUGUGUGUCAACGAGCGAGCGCAAUGCAAGACAUGGCUCUUGGCUCCUUGAUUCUGUUUAAAAUUCAUAUUUAACGCUUCUGCGGUGAUAGCACACAGGACUAAUGGUUUCUUUUUUCCCAUCGUUUCCAUUGAGCUCUUAUUUUGAAACUGUAAUCAGUAGUGGAGACAAGGAGAGAAAACUGAGCUAGUAUUCUAAAUCCACCAUCUCUGAUUCCACUGAGCUCGGCUCUGCGUGUGUAUACAUGACCUCUGAAGAUUCCCAACCUUCCCUCCUGACCUACACCACCGGGCAGUCCACGAUCUCAAGUACACCCGUUUUACUACCCUCCAUCCUUCAAAGUCACAUAGACCCUCAGCCACUUAGACCCUGGCGUCUGUCCUGAGAUUCAAUUUGGACGACUGGCCAUCAUUCAGCGAUCACAAAAUCCGUUCCACCCGACUCCCAAGACACCGCAGGAAAAGGUCCCAGAGGGUCCAAAUAGUGGCUUCCACCGUCCAGGUUUGCCUUCCUAGAAUCAGCUCGAAUAGAGGUCUCUCCCUCCAUUCCAGCCUUUCCUGCUCACACAUCCACUGAUCUCCCUUGUCUCCUGGGUCCAGAGCCCUUGAACCCAUACCCUCCACACCCAGUCCCCCAGUCUGGGGUGUUUCCCACCAACCAGGGGCCGCUACCGUUCUUUCUUAGUCACUGUGGGUUGCUAUUUAAUUCCCAGCGCAGCCGCUUCCUUCCUCUGGUUCAGACCAUGAUCCCCAGAAAAGGGAGAGGAGGCCGAGCCACAGUAGGCUUCUAGGGCUGCCAGUCACAAAACCCGGUAUAUCCAGCAGCAUAGGUCUAGAGGCGAGGAAAGAAGGAGCCGGCUAACUGCACCUUAGACCCUUGCCAUCUGAAGCCACACUAACUCUGCACAGACCCGUGAAGAUCCAGCUUAUGCAACUCGGGAACAGCUCUGCUGGAGCCUCCUUCCCUUGUCCUCCCUCGAGGUUCAUGCUCUUAAUAUGCAGUACUUUUCUAGUUUAUAUUGCUGUCUCUCCUAAAUAGCAUAGUAAGGGAGUUGUAGAAGGGGGAGACAGAUUUUUAUUCUUUACACUUUCCCAGACAGGAACACCAAUUCAAGCAAGGGCGCCUGCUCCUAUCACCGUAUUACUGAGGGUGAGAAGUUGCGGGAGGUGGGCCUUUCAACGGUGCUCCAGGGCGCACUUGGCUCCGGGAGGCUGAGCUUGGGCAAUGAUAGAGGAAAGGGAUGUCACGGUGUGCACCUGGCCUAGGGAAACCGGGCUUCCCACGAGGGCUGGUGUUGUGUGUGGAUUCUAAGCACGGGGAGGGGGCUGGUUAGAGGUGAGCGUCCCGAUCUCAGCCGCUGAGCAAUGGUAGUGGUGCCCUGAUGGCGACAGAAGUGACCAGAAGAGGCAGGAAGGAGAGAAAGCAUGCAGAAGGAGCAAGAGGGUGUGAAUUGAGGGAAGAUGUGUCAAGAGAAACACAUGGAAGAGUGAAGCACGAAAUGAAAAAGACACCCUUUGUGGUGGUUCACUCCUGUAGUCCCCCUACUUGAGUUCAAGUGGUGUCCAGGCAAGCCUGGGCUACAGAAUAAGACAGUGUCCAAAAAAAAAGUGUGUGGGGGGCUGCGAAGCUGAGAAUCCUGAAGCUUCCAGGCAGGGCCUUCCAUUGGGACCUAAGUGUGUAAGUGUGCUGUGCGUGUGACAGGCACAUUCCUGGGCAGGAGAAAAGGAGGUUGUAGCCUGUUUGGUAGGGAACUUAACGCCUAUGGAAAGCGUGUGAGCAGCACUGGGCAGGAAUCCAACAAAUAAAUAAAACGUCUAAGACAGCGUGACAACAAUGUGUAUUUGGGUGCAUGCCCAUGUUCCUCUGUUUGAGCACACACACACCCGGAAGGAAGACAAACGGGGCUCCUGCCUCAGAGUAAUUAAUCCUGUCACUAAUUGACUCUCUCCCCUUACCUAAUGGUGGUGGUCACUGCUGAUAUCUGGAGAGAUAUCAAGUGGGAAGGGAGGGAGGGAGAAAGACCCCAAAGCUAACAGCCUUUGGGACUGAGGAUGCGUUUGCUCUGAAGUUGGCUGCUCUAAUCCGUUAUCCUCAGCACCUCACUCAUUGUUGGAUGCAGUUCAACAGAUGUGACUGCCUUGCCUGUCCAGGUUUGGGGCAAUGUUCGCAAAGGUCCUCUAGGCUUAGAGAGACCAGAUCAUGCACACCGAGGUCCUUCUGUAGCUCUGAAGCUGGGACUUACAGUUUCUCAGCUGAAAGCCACUCACUACCCCUCUACUAGACAUGGCCCACAUGGGAGCCUGUAACCCUGACUCUCUUGGUCUCCCCCAAGGGAGAUCCUGAGCCACCUACUGUCACCUUGUAUUCUUCAAGGCCCUAGGACGGAUAUGUCCUGCAGUCCCCGGCAGCAACAGCGCUGGAGAGCUUUAGGCCAUCUGGGAAACUGCUUGAGAAGGAUGAAAAGAGAGUAGUAAAGGGAUGAGCUAGGCCAAGGAUGAGGAAAAACUUGUAGAGUUGCAUAAACCUGCUCAGACACGCAAGUCCGCAGAGUGGUUGUCUUGUGGCAAGGUUGAGGUCUCUGGGGACAAAGGAGGAGUGAAUCGGUUGCUGCUGGGUAGGAGAGAGUGUGUAGUGCGUGGGAAGGCAAGUGGGCAGCUAUGCUCUGUGCCUGUGUGACAGUUCUAGUCUGCGGGGGCAUGGAAAAGGCUCAGUAUGCGCCCCCACUACACACCCUUAGGUCUCAGGACUGGGGAGGAGAAACAGAUCUGUCUUUUGGUAGCUGAGUUGGUUGAAGGAUCCAAGGCCCACAAUGUGUCUGCUGAUGAAGCAUCCAGCCUUUGGGAGGUGAGUGUCAGCUGUCAUCCCUGUGAGGUAGUCAUUCUGUUAGCCUCCUCAGAGGCUAAGUAAAUAGAUUCAGGGACUGGUAUGGAGAGGACACAGCUUCCAAGGGAGUGGAACAAAACAAAACAACCCAAAGCCCCACUAAACACAAUUCUUAAUUCCCCCUUGGGGGCAUUUGUACAUUUGACCAAAACAGUCCCCAAGCAGUAACAGUGGUAUUACUUACAGGGGCUAGAGGUCCAGAGGGAGUUUGAGGGUGAUGGGCAGACCAAGAGAGGUGGCUGGCAUGUUAGAGAAGGUGAGAUGCGUGGCUUCUUCUCAACAUCACUGUCAUGCUUUAAGAGGAAAAAAAAGAAGAAAGAAAGGAGAAACAAGCAAAAGGAAUAAAAUUUCAGGGCAGAGAAGAGAAGGGCAUAUAGAAGGCAAAUAGAAACCAGAAAGGAAAGAAAGUGAAGAAGAAAGAAAAAAUGCAGGGAGGUGGAGAGAGACCAUAAUAAAAGAGGGUGAAGGCGGCCCCAGGAGGCUGGGCCUCGUCCCAAACCAUCCGUCUUCAUUGUCUCCGUGUGUGCAAAGGCAACUCCAGCAUAAGGAAAAGCCACUAUUGGAGCCGCGGCUUUAUUUUAUAUCCUAUACAUCAGGAGGGAGGCAAAGCUUUAUUUUCGCCAAGAGACAGAUAUUUUAUUUCUCUCUUACGGUUUUAUGUGUGAGAGAUGUCAGGUUGCCACAAUGGAUGGCUAAUGCAUAGGCAAGAGGAAGCCGUGUUGGCAUGCUGUGUGUCAUGGGGUCUGGGGGGGUGAGCGGGCCUGGGAUUUAGGGCUGAUGGGACACUCUGGGGGAUUUCUGCUAAAACAUCUCUCUUCAUAAAUCCACAAGCAUGGUCAGCUCAACAGGGAGAAGAAGGAGUUUUAGAGGGAAAAGAGUUGGGCUUAGUAAUAAAUGAACACACAAAGGAACCGCUUACCUUCCAACUGGCUUGGGCAAUGGGGGCAGACGGAAGUUCUAGUGACAGGCAAAGGGAGACUUGUUUUAGAAGGUGGAUGAAGGGUGAGAAGUGAUGUAUUAAAAACCUGGAACCCAAAAGUGGUGUCUUGCACAUUUAUAAAUGCAUCUGUAAAUAGACCAGGCAUCUGAGGACCAAAGCAGUAUUAUCUUUUAAAUUAAGAGUCCCGGAAAGCUGAGGAAGAAGGCUGGACACAUGUGCUGUUCACAGGGAUGUGUGUGUGUGUGUGUGUGUGUGUGUGUGUGUGUGUGUGUGUGUGUGUGUGUGUGUUCCUGGAAGAACUGUGUUUAUAUGGGCUUCUUUUGCCCUAUAUAUAUUUUACGGUUUCUGUCUUUUAUCCACAUGUCCCCUUCUUCAGAAAGCUUUUUUUUUCCUUCUUAGAGCCUUGGAGGAAAAGAACUAUUAAUUUGCAAAUUAUCCUGUACAAGGUCAAGAUGGGUGUUUUUUACUGCUACAUCUACUGAUUUGCGUGGACACACACAUGCACAUACAAACCCAUUAUGCUGUGAGCCCUCCGUUGUCAGUGCCGGAUUAGAAUUCAAGAAAAUCUCCUUCGUGCCAGUGUGCUCCACAUUAAGCCCCGGACCUCAAAGUGUAUAAUGUUCACAUUUUAAACCCCUGGAGAUGGGGAUGAGCAUAGAGACAGUGGCAUGGGGGGAGUCUUUGGAUUAACAUGUCCAUCUGGACUCACCAUCUCCCCUCCUUGUAGGCCUCUCUUCUUACCCCUGCAGAGACCACUGCUUCCAGGAGUAGCUUUCUUUCAUUUUCAAGUCUUGUUAAUUGUUGUUUUUAUGUGUUACGUAGCAAAAAGCUAGUUAUAUCCUUCACUUCAUUUCAGAGGAUCUCAGGCAGCACAAGAGUUCUAGACAAUGAGCAGGGCUACCUGGCCACACUGCCCCCUGCCUUUGAAGAAGCUGUUCAACCUUUCUGGGCCUCAGUUUCCCCUCCUGUAUGCAGGGGAUUGGGCUAAAUGAUUGCCAAGGUCCGUUCCAGCUCCGACUUCCUCUGACCGAAUGAGAUAAUGUGUGAAAACACUUUGUAACCACUAAAGCCGGACGAAUGCCAGGGAUUAUUAUUACGAUUCUAAUCAAUCCUCUUUUCUCCACAUGGAUCUUGGCUGUUUAGCGCCAGCAAGCAGGCUAAAGAGGGCCCAAGUGAGAAAGCUUAGCAGAGAUGGGAAGACUCUGCUGGGGACAGAAAAACCCUGCACCUCUGUCUCUGGAAGCCAGGUGGGCAGUGGUGGGCCUGGAGAAGCAGCAGGAUGCACCAGGACACAUUUUAGUCUGGGCAGGAGCAGAGGGUGUCUUUCUUCAAAAGCAUUAUUUGUUUCCAAGUGACUGACAUAGGAAGGCGAUUUGCAUUUUUUCUCUUUCCAGGGAGAAAGGAAAGAACAAGGUGUAGCUGAUUAGCAAGUUAAUUAUUUCAGUACCCCAAGGGUUCAUGCGUGGUGGUAAGUUGUCCAGCCCUGGUGUAAUUUCACAGUCUGUGCGUUUCUUGGUGAACACCUGGGGUGCCUGAGUCUGUCUCUUUCUCCAUCAACCUGCCUCAUGUUGUCCCGAUGCACCUGGGGAAAGGGGCAGGGCCUGGGGUGAAAGUUGGUACUAUAUCAGUUGAGGGGAGACAGAACUUGUGAGAUGCCCUCUACCUCCACUGAGUGCUUAGUUACUUAUCUCUUUCCUCUUCACUAACAGCAUUUUUUAAAAUUAAUAUUAAUGAGGUGGUUAUCAGUAAGUGGGGUGGCCGUGAGGUGAUAUCCCAGAUCUGGUCAGGACAUGAACUGUGAUGGGGGUUGGAGGGAGUCCUUGCUUCUCACCUCCUCCUGCCAGGUCAGCUCUCCAAGCUCUGUUUGAUUUCUCACCUCUGGCCACCACUUGUUCUGGAGCAGCCUCCUCCAGCCUGACCUCCCCUGAGGGAGGGGAGGGAGGAUUGUGUGAGCAAAGGGAUGGAUGCCUUCCCCCAGAGAGAUAACUUGGAGAUGUGAACAUGAGCUGCAGAAUUAACAGCUUCGGCCUCUCUGCCACUAGGCUGGCUUCCUGCUCUGACGAUGGGAGGCCAGACCCCUGCCUCUCCUUUUGAGCCCGGCAAAGGGCGGGGGUGCUCUCCAGUUUACUUAAGAGUGGUCCCAUCUGCUCAGACUGGCCUUUCAUAAGGGGAGGGAUUUAUGCAGUGUCCUUGUGCUUAGACCUGGGAUUUGGCUGAAAACCUUGGGCCUCUGAGAAUUACCUAAUGCUGCAAUGCUCAGUCAUGAAGAUGAUUCAUGACUUUUGUCUUUGUGGAGUGAGUGUGUGUGUGUGUGUGUGUGUGUGUGUGUGUGUGUGUGUGUGUGUGUUACUUUCUACUGUUCGAAUUUUGAAUCCAAAAUCUUCUUUUCUAUAUUGUCUCAGGAGACGGCCUUGGAGGGCCAACUUCUGGACUUCAGCAGUGUGAGGACGACACAGUACUCACUGGUGCUGCCAUUCAGCUGUUCUCACUCAGGCUGGCUGCCACCCCUGCUGAUGGAGAGAGGCUGGAGGCUGUCUGAGAAGACAGUGCCGAUGCAGAGGUCUCCUAGCAAAGUGUGAAGGGAUGGCCCUCCUCCAGGGUUGAAGAAAGAAAGAAAGAAGGGGAGCCCAAGGAAAGGUGGGGCCGUUGGGAUUCCUAGAUAACACUCUUCUGCUGGUAUACUUCUCACAUGUUGUAUGCUAUAGUCUCCAAAUUUCACAUUUAUUGUGGUAACCUGCAGUGUAUAGGCACCAGCCAAAUGCAGUUUGGCCAAAACAGUGUUAAAUAAAACUGUAAGAAAUGCUA